ensembl:snRNA U6 U6 spliceosomal RNA
GGGCUCCCUUCAGCAGCACAUACACUUGAAUUGGAACUAUAAAGAAAAAAUUAGCAGUGCCCCUGUGCAAGAUGACAUGACAGUUUGUGAAGCAUACCAUAUUUAA